UACAGAGGGUGCAAGCGUUAAUCGGAGUUACUGGGCGUAAAGCGCGCGCAGGUGGGGUGAACAAGUCGGAAGUGAAAUCUUGAGGCUCAACCUCGAGGCUGCUCCCGAAACUGUUCGCCUAGGGACUGGUAGAGGCUGGUAGAAUUCCCGGUGUAGCGGUGGAAUGCGUAGAUAUUUGGAGGAAUACCGGUGGCGAAGGCGGCCUUCUGGGAUAAAACUGACGCUCAGGCACGAAAGCGUGGGUAGCAAACAGG
rnacentral:rRNA from 1 species